rnacentral:ncRNA from 1 species
UUUGCUAGAGCCAAAUCUUUUGUAAAGCAGGGGAAGGGAAACCACAGGUCUUAAAUGAAGAUAGCUGGGUUGCCAUAA